CAGCCGCCACGGGAAUACGAAGGGUGCAAGCGUUACUUGGAAUUACUGGGCGUAAAGCGUGCGUAGGUGGUGGUUUAAGUCCGUUGUGAAAGCCCUGGGCUCAACCUGGGAAUUGCAGUGGAUACUGGGUCACUAGAGUGUGGUAGAGGAUAGUGGAAUUUCCGGUGUAGCAGUGAAAUGCGUAGAGAUCGGAAGGAACAUCUGUGGCGAAGGCGACUAUCUGGGCCAACACUGACACUGAGGCACGAAAGCGUGGGGAGCAAACAGGAUUAGAUACCCCUGUAGUCCCUGUCUCUUAUAC
rnacentral:rRNA from 1 species